AGGAGUCUAGCCUGCCCAGUGACAUUUUAACGGCCGCGGUACUCUGACCGUGCAAAGGUAGCAUAAUCAUUUGCCUUAUAAUUGAAGGCUAGUAUGAAAGGUCUGACGAAAGCUAUACUGUCUUUUAUUGAAUAAAAUGAAAUUGACUUAUAGGUGCAAAGGCCCGCAUAAAACUAAAAGACGAGAAGACCCUAUUGAGCUUAAAAGAUUUAGUAGAGUGUAACAUAUUAUACAAAAUUUUAACUCUUAAAAGUUUUUAGUUGGGGCGACUUUGGAACAAUAGUAGCUUCCAAAUAUGUAAAAUAUUCUUAAGUACUGAUCCGAAAAAUUUUGAUUUAUAGAAUUAGUUACCAUAGGGAUAACAGCAUAAUCUCCCUUAAGAGUCCUAAUCGAAAGGGGGGCUUGCGACCUCGAUGUUGGACUAGGGUAUCCUGAGGGUGCAGAAGCUCUUAAAGGUUGGUCUGUUCG
rnacentral:rRNA from 1 species